GACGAACGCUGGCGGCGUGCUUAACACAUGCAAGUCGAACGAAGGGCGACGGAAGUUUGCUUCUAUCAGUCUUAGUGGCGAACGGGUGAGUCACGCGUAAUCAACCUGCCCGUCAGAGGGGGACAACAGUUGGAAACGACUGCUAAUACCGCAAACGAUCUAAUCUCGGCAUCGAGGAUGGAUGAAAGGUGGCCUCGACAUGUAUGCUUUCAUUGAAGGAGCGGAAUGCGUCUGAUUAGCUAGUUGGGGGGGUAGAGGACCACCAAGGCGAUGCACAGUAGCCGGACUGAGAGGGUGAACGGCCACAAUGGGACUGAGACACGGCCCAGACUCCUACGGGAGGCAGCAGGGGGGAAUCUUCCGCAAUGGACGGAAGUCUGACGGAGCAACGCCGCGGGAGUGAAGACGGCCUUCGGGUUGUAAAGCUCUGUUAAUCGGGACGAAAGGCCUUCUUGCGAAUAGGGAGAAAGAUUGACGGUACCGGAAUAGAAAGCCACGGCUAACUACGUG
rnacentral:rRNA from 1 species